GAUUUGUCAUGUAGUUUUGUAGACACAUUAACCAUUGAGUAUUAGGGAACUUGAAUAUAAGAACCAACCACACUCAUCAUCUUCAUCAAACUCCCUCAUCUCUCCUUCUCCCCUCUAAACUCUCGGCCGAAACCCCCCUAUAUCACCUCACCAUUUUUCGAUUCUUGUUCAUUAAAUCCAAGCCUCAUUCAAGGUGCACAAGGGUGAAUAACGAAGGGUGGAACUCACGGAUCAUCAAGGACCUCUCUAGUUUGCUAUUAUCCUCCACAUUUUCACUAGUGUUCUUCUCUAGCUUUAAGCUAGUUGACGUGCUUGAUUUCCUGAUUAUUAGAGUAAUUAAUCUAACCGAGCAAACCAAGGUCGUUGUGGGAUAUGGACUAUUAUGCCCCGUCGUUAGAUGCUUAUGGAGCUUGCACGAGGAGGAUGUCGUUGUGGGAUAUGGACUAUUAUGUCCUGUGCUAAAUAAUUAAACUUUAUGAACUUAUGGAACUUAUGUUUUGGUCUUUAAACUUAUGAACUAUGAACUUAUGUUUUGGACUUACGUUUUUAUGCUUCCGCUGUUAACUUAGAGUUGGUUACUUCCUCUUAGUCACCAAUUGUAUUGCGGUUGGUUUUAUUUACUUAAUUACGUUGUUCAAUAUGAUUGGUGGCUCGAUCCUGGUCAUGUCACGCCUCCAAGCGGUGAUACUCCGCAUGGUGGAUUUUGGGGGUUUGACAAUAAGUGAGUUAAUUGGGUCGGUGGGUUGUGAAAAAAAUGGGUUAGUGAGUGAUAAAUAGGUUAGUGGAUUGGCCUAUUUUAGUUAAGCAUGUGAAUCUGAAUAUGAUCUGUUUGUUAUACGGGUUAUAUAUGAUAACUAAAAACUUUAUU
rnacentral:lncRNA from 1 species